ACUCCGAUCCUUAUAUUUAAUCCAGUAAAGAAGCAACAAAAAUCUUAUAGUUUACUAAAAGAAGAAAUUCUUUAUCUCAUAUUUAAUCCAUCAAGAUGACUACCUGAUAGUUAUGCUGUGGCCUUUUUAUCAAAUUAACCUUUAGCUCACUCAUGUAGCCAUCUAUUGAUUUUGCAUUUUUAGGUUCUAUGUGCUGGAAAGGAUCUUGCUACAAAAGAAACAACAAAACGAAUGAUUAAUCUGUUGAGGAAUCUUCAGAGAACACUACCAGCAGUCACUUGGGCGUCAGCUUGGUCAUUGCUAUUGCCUCAGCAGGAGAUGGAAAUGAAGUCCAUUCUAUCACCUAAGGGAGAUGCUAACUUGUCAUCAUUGCAAUGAAACUAUGAUUUUUGCGACUCCAUGUCGUUCAAAUAUUAUGUAGCUCAAUUUUCUCCUAAAAAUAUAGGUGUGUCACAAAGUAUGAAAGCCUCGAGCUAAAGAAAUAGGAGCAUGGACAAUUGUGGUACACCAGACAACCUAUUAGACAAAUGUAUAAGGUUUCAGGGUAUAUUCUGGUUACUGACUCUUGCAGAAGUUUUGAUCUAAUACUUUUGUUGUUUACAUAGUUGAUUGUCAUGCACGCAUUACAGAUUAAAUGGUUGUCUUUUUUAUUGCUUUGUUUCUUA